GCCGGGCGCGGUGGCUCACGCCUGUAAUCCCAGCACUUUGGGAGGCUGAGGUGGGUGGAUCACCUGAGGUCAGGAGUUAGAGACAAGCCUGGCCAACAUGGUGAAAACCCAUCUCUA
rnacentral:SRP_RNA from 1 species